AGAGUGAACGCUGGCGGUAGGCCUAACACAUGCAAGUCGAACGGCAGCACAGUAGGAGCUUGCUCUUACGGGUGGCGAGUGGCGGGCGGGUGAGGAAUACAUCGGAAUCUACCUUUUGGUGGGGGAUAACGUAGGGAAACUUACGCUAAUACCGCAUACGCCCUUCGGGGGAAAGCCGGGGACCAGCAAUGGCCUGGUGCUGAUAGAUGAGCCGAUGUCGGAUUAGCUAGUUGGUGAGGUAAUGGCUCACCGAAGGCGACGAUCCGUAGCUGGUCUGAGAGGAUGAUCAGCCACACUGGAACUGAGACACGGUCCAGACUCCUACGGGAGCAGCAGGUGGGGAAUAGUUGG
rnacentral:rRNA from 1 species